CCUACGGGAGGCUGCAGUGGGGAAUAUUGCACAAUGGGCGCAAGCCUGAUGCAGCCAUGCCGCGUGUGUGAAGAAGGCCUUCGGGUUGUAAAGCACUUUCAGCGGGGAGGAAGGCGGUGAGGUUAAUAACCUCAUCGAUUGACGUUACCCGCAGAAGAAGCACCGGCUAACUCCGUGCCAGCAGCCGCGGUAAUACGGAGGGUGCAAGCGUUAAUCGGAAUUACUGGGCGUAAAGCGCACGCAGGCGGUCUGUCAAGUCGGAUGUGAAAUCCCCGGGCUCAACCUGGGAACUGCAUUCGAAACUGGCAGGCUAGAGUCUUGUAGAGGGGGGUAGAAUUCCAGGUGUAGCGGUGAAAUGCGUAGGGAUCUGGAGGAAUACCGGUGGCGAAGGCGGCCCCCUGGACAAAGACUGACGCUCAGGUGCGAAAGCGUGGGGAGCAAACAGGAUUAGAUACCCCUGUAGUC
rnacentral:rRNA from 1 species